UACGUAGGGAGCAAGCGUUGUCCGGAAUCAUUGGGCGUAAAGCGCGCGUAGGCGGCCCGAUAAGUCCGCUGUGAAAGUCAACGGCUCAACUGUUGGAUGCCGGUGGAUACUGUCGGGCUAGAGUACGGAAGAGGCAAGUGGAAUUCCUGGUGUAGCGGUGGAAUGCGCAGAUAUCAGGAGGAACACCUAUAGCGAAGGCAGCUUGCUGGGACGACACUGACGCUGAGGCGCGAAAGCGUGGGGAGCGAACAGG
rnacentral:rRNA from 1 species